UACGUACGGGCCUGACUCUUUGCUCUGCCCGUGCCAUUUUUUCUCUGGGUGAGCAAAGUUUCAGGUGUGUCCGUGA
rnacentral:pre_miRNA from 1 species